CCAAUGCUGGAGGAUACAUGUGAUGACAUGAAAUGUUCCUAUUUUCCAAAGUUUUCAUCUACCAAGUCGUUCAUGUACGGUUUAGCACCGUUAAUAUAAGUUCACUCCUCAAAGUAAUAGGUUCUGUGACAGAAGAUUCUUGGUCCUAAAUUUCUGAUUCAAAAAUGGGAAAAAAUUCCAAGAUAUAAAAGCUGUUCACCAGUAUUCCGGUUAAAUGUAUAACAUCAUAGAACAAUAUGAGUGAUCAUUGAGUCACCUUUCCCAGAUGUCUCACAGAAAACCUCCUCUGACUAUAAUGCCCAUGGAAAAUCAUCUUAAUUCCAGAAAGCGGGGGCUGACGGGACACUGUUGAGAGGAUCCAACAUUCCGCUGCUGCCAGGUGUUGAGGAAAUGCACACACCCUCAUGAGAGAGACACAAACCAUCACAGAGCAUCAGAAGUGGAUGAAACUUCUUGGCCUGGAGAAUUAAAAAAAAAAAAAAAAGAAAGAAAGGAAAGCACUGUGAGACUUUUGCCCCAUCACAGAUUGAAGGAAAAGGUGAAAAAAACAGAAUGUAGAAGUCAUAAAACUGCAGAGGCCUAUUAUCUAAACAUCUGACAUGACAUUGCCCCAUCUUAUAACUGAAGUUCUCAAGACUGAGUGAAAAAAUCAAGAAAGAACAUGUGUUCUGAGAUAGCAUCAAUAGUAUGUUCUUUCUGUAAAUAAAGCACAUUAAUGUACUGAAUAAGAUGGAUUUCAAAAUUUGGUAA